AAUUUUGACCAUGUCACAAACAGAGGGUCACAUCUGUCUGCCCCACUGGGCCAGGUGCUUUGAUAGCCCAUUCUGCCUUCAAGAGCUCUGGAUAUCCAGCUGUAUAAUUCAGUUUGUGGAAGACUUCUUCAGGAAAAAUAAAUCCGGUGUGCUUUAGCUUUGCCAAAGCUAAGGGGUUAAAGUGCUGUAAAUGACCAAACCGGCAGCUUGGACCAGAGACUCGGACAUCCCGAGAGGACAAUUGCCGCCGGUGCUGCUGCCGCCGCCGCUGCCGCCGCCAUUGCACUUUAGGCUCCUUGCUGUCUUGGGAGGUCCUCUUGGAGCAUCUGUGAAGGCUCAAAGACUGAAAUUCCUCACGCAUCACACUGUUCCUUUGACGAAAGUCCUUCAGUGAUCCACACUGUCUUCAGGAUAAAGCAUGCAUUCCUUGAAGGGUCGCAUAUGGAAUUCUUCACGGCCUUCUGUUGGAGCUCUCAAGCCUCAUGCCACACAUGCUGUGCCCUCCAGAUACACAUGAAACACUGAUGCUCUCUGAACACGUUGUGCUGUUUAACGUCUUCAUUGCCUCGUUUUCUCGACGCCCCCAGCUCUUUGUCCUGGAUGUCCCCUGGAGUGACUGCUGUCGGACCAUCUUUUACUGCUGUCGCUCCAUGGAUUGGAUAUGUGAUCCAUAUUUGGACAAAUGGCAGAACUUCCUUGAGCAUGAUUGAUCCAGCAUUGGACAGGUAAUCUACACCAUGUCAAGGGACAUCUCUGAGAUUUUCAUUCAUGAACUAGAGAUUUUCUCCAGGAUCAUUAAGUGUAUGAAGGCCACCCCAGACAUUAUUUUACCUAUUGUUUUGACACAGAAGGGAUGAAGAAUAAUGUUUGUAUCAGAAUGAAAUAGCAAUGGGAUGUAGUAA